ACCACUUAUCACCUUUUCCGCAAUGCCCAAUCUAGCAAUCAGUGUAGUUUUUCGUGAUAUGAUAAUCUAUGAUAAUCUCUGAGGGUCAGUCAUUUGGGGAAGCAAAAAUAAUAUCUUCUAAUCAAAUCUGAGCAAAUCUAAUCUUGUAAUGAAGCAUAAUUAUUAUUUUUAUCAUUUAAUAUUAUUAGAUCAUAAUAAUAAUAGUAACAUUUGCCAUAAUAAUAAUAAUGUAACACACCUGUAUAUUUAACGUUGUUGCCUUUCGUCUUGUUUCCAUAAUCAAUCUUGAGCUCAUGAAACAAGAACAUCUGAAAACAAUAGAAAUCUGGCAGAAUGAAUAUUAUUAAAUCAACAGCUGCAGUUAAGUACGACGGUAACAUUAAUUUACUCUAGUAAAGUUGAGACAAACCUCAAGUUUAACUAUGAUUGGGUUAUUUGGAGUGACACAGGCAAAACUACUCAAAAUAUGAUAUUCAGACCUCAUGAUCUUAGUGAUAACUUAAUUUGAAAAUAACUUAAAGUUCAUUAACUUCGGCGUUUGGGAAACAUAUUUCAAUCUAUUAUCACGGAGCUUAGCAACGAUGAGUCUGAUAAUUUUUUCUUAGCCCUAAUUCUGCUUCAUAAUGAAACAUGAAAUAUAUAUAUAUAUAUAUGUAUUUAUUUAUUGGUCGGUGGUGUUUAUUAACCCCUUAAAUUAAAUUCAUGAAGUUUAUUUAAAAUAAGAUUUUUACCGAGAUUUUUCUUCUCCAAAGUGUUUUGGCGGGAUAUCUAGAAGGCACAGACCAACCAUUAUAUGCUACUUUAGCGAAAUAUUGACAAGUUAAGCGUUACUACAUAAACUAUUAUCUGAAUGGGGCACCAAACGCGGUGCGCCCUGGCCCAAUGUGUCACGCCAUAAGAUAUAAGCGUCAUUGUUUUUAAAUAUUCUUGUUUUAUGAGCUCAAGAUUGAUGAUGGGAACAAAAGACGGCAUAGUUUAAUAUACGGAAUCAACUGAAUGAAAUUGAAACUGAUUAUAUUUUUCCAGAGACAGAACAAGUUCCGGAUCAAAAUAUUUAACAAAUAAAUAUUUAACAAGACACCUAUAUAAGCCAGGCACCAGACACACGAUCAAACAGUUGUUCAGCCACAACCCUAAGGUGUCAAGGGUAGAGUACUCUAGCAUGACCACAUUUGGGCCAUACCUAAUUGACAGCGGUGAAGAUAGAUGAUGUUUCUGUGCCAAUACCAGUUCAGAGAAAGGCGUUGUGAGCCCAGUUUGGUCCCUUUUGCACAUUCGACCUUAUCAGCAGUAACUUUUCUUUUAUGCUUCAUACAAACUUUGGUUUUGAAAAGUCAAUAUUUUAUUAUUUCGUAAACCAUACCAAAUUUAGGGUAUUUAUCUUGUGUAAUUAACGACCACUAUUCAAAGAUAUGUACCUAAUGUAAACAAAGUUCUUUGUAUAUAGUGUUAUUAGUUUAAUAUGGUUGCCUGUGGGAAUAUUGUUUAUUCGACGUCUGUGGAUUGCGUAACUGAGACUAUUAGUAAGUCCAAAUGGAAAUUUAUAUAAUGUUUAGAACAUUAUGUUUUGAAUGUGCAUGUAUCAUAUGAAACUGUCCUGCAUUUAUGGUAUUUCUCGUUUAUUCAUUUCCUUGAGGCUUUUUCUUUUUUUUGAUCUUUGAUAAUUUUUCUUGUGUCGGUGUCUGUAGUCAGCUGGAUAUGCAGCGGAAUGCCGUUCGGCAGAUAUGUAAAUCAUUAUCAGAUUGAAAGUAAAGGGCUGUCUAGUCUAGACUGUGACUUUAGGAUGCCUGAUAUCUUGAAGCUAUCAUAAACUGCGUGGUUGAAGACUUUAUGAUCAUUCGUCUCGGUCACCUGUUAUCAGAACAUCCUAUGAAGGAAAUUAAUUGUGUGUUUUGCUUUUACAGAUGCUGGAUAUGUGAUUUUAUAUAUAUCUUGCGUUUUCGCUCUUAUCGUAGAACAUAUGUGUCAGGCGAUGCAUAGGCCGUUGUUAUAAAAAAAUUUUUAGUCUUACUAAUCGGCAACACCGCCACUGUACUAAAAGUCCAUAAUCGUUUCUUCGUAAUAUUUUUUCUUUUACAUUCUGUGAAAAUUUGUAUAUUGGCCAUGGUCGGUGUUGGUUGGGCUCAUUGGUUCUUCCAGAUAUAGCUUGCAGCCCAGAAUUUGAUGAUGGUGUAGAAAUUGCCGGUCGUGGAGUUGUCGUCAACUUGAAUACGCAUGAAAUGAAAUUGGCCAACAGCUUGUAAAAACACAACAAGAUUGAUUUACAUGUGGAUAGUCUGGUAUAGAUGGUAUCUCCAUACUGUCGAUACAUAUGAAAGCGGUCAAACGAAAUCGAAAAUAAAAAAAAAGAUGACACGUGCCCAUUUAGAAAUGAUUACAUUACAUCAACUCAAGCUGGAAUUGCGCAAGAAUUGCAAAGUGACGAAAAAAACAUUUCGAUUGAAGCAAAUGAGGAAAAAAUAUUACAAAAUGUAUAUAGAUUAAAUAACGCAAAUUUACCACAAUUUAUGGAUAACACAAUGGAGAAUUUUUCGCUGCAACAAAAUAAAAACGAGAAUAUUGGUCAGAGACCGAAGACUUAUCGAUCGAAAGUUAGGGGAUCCCCCAAAACAGCGCUCUUACUCCAUAGUGAC